CGUUGACAUGAUGGUAGAUGGACACUACAGCACAAUAUAAGCUGAGCUGGAAAUUACAAUUGAUAAGAUAUCACAUUGGUUUGAGCAUGAUUCCCAGCAAGAUUAUGAAGGGGCAUAUAUAUCAUAUAUACAUAGGAAAUAUAUAGUGUCACUAAAUUACUCUCAUACGGUACCUCACCUCUGUAGCUGCAAAUUGCGAAACGGUGGAUUCAUUCAUAAUUUUGAGUUACUUAUUGCAAUUGGAAAUAACGUUGAUAAAGCUAACAGCAUUAUGCCAUGAUGUUGAUGGGAUGUUCUGAUUGGACAGAAAGGAAAUUGUGAAUUGAACAAAUAGCAAACUUGAAAUUCAUAGGAAAAAAAGUAGGAAAUUGGAAUAAUGAAAAUUCAUAGUUUCAGUGAUUAUCUUACAAUCAUCAUGAUCAUUGUCAAUACUACAAGUGCAUCAUCAUGAUCAUAUAUAUCUGAAUUCACCUUGGAUAAUUAUACAUUUAAAAUAAGAAUUUGGAUAUAAUAAGAAUUUCUGUGCUGGCGUUGCUACUGUUGGCUUCAUGUACCACCAGCUGGGAGUGUUAAACCUUUUUGACCUUUCGUGAGGGUCUGUCACGGUCCGUCACAAUUGGUUAGUGUCAUAUAUGCAUGAUUAUGGAAGUUUCACCAACCUAGACAAGCUUUACAGCCCUGGCACGGUUGUUGGUUGCACUUAGAGUCAAAUGACAGCUUGCUGUAUACAUUUGUAGUUCAAAUAGUCUGAAUGAAUCUACAUGUAUGGUGACAAUCUUCUAAAUUACUGUUCAUUCUGAAACUGGCAUUUUAUACUAGUACAUGUAGUAGUCGAACAUAUUAAACAAUACAUGUACUUCAAA